AGUGAACGCUGGCGGUAGGCCUAACACAUGCAAGUCGAACGGCAGCACAGUAAGAGCUUGCUCUUACGGGUGGCGAGUGGCGGACGGGUGAGGAAUACAUCGGAAUCUACUUUUUCGUGGGGGAUAACGUAGGGAAACUUACGCUAAUACCGCAUACGACCUACGGGUGAAAGCAGGGGAUCUUCGGACCUUGCGCGAUUGAAUGAGCCGAUGUCGGAUUAGCUAGUUGGCGGGGUAAAGGCCCACCAAGGCGACGAUCCGUAGCUGGUCUGAGAGGAUGAUCAGCCAGACUGGAACUGGGACACGGUCCAGACUCCUACGGGAGGCAGCAGUGGGGAAUAUUGGACAAUGGGCGCAAGCCUGAUCCAGCCAUACCGCGUGGGUGAAGAAGGCCUUCGGGUUGUAAAGCCCUUUUGUUGGGAAAGAAAAGCAGCAGGUUAAUACCCCGCUGUUCUGACGGUACCCAAAGAAUAAGCACCGGCUAACUUCGUG
rnacentral:rRNA from 1 species